AUGGCUCAGGAGACUAACCAGACCCCGGGGCCCAUGCUGUGUAGCACAGGAUGUGGCUUUUAUGGAAAUCCUAGGACAAAUGGAAUGUGUUCAGUUUGCUACAAAGAACAUCUUCAGAGGCAGCAGAAUAGUGGCAGAAUGAGCCCAAUGGGGACAGCUAGUGGUUCCAACAGUCCUACCUCAGAUUCUGCAUCUGUACAGAGAGCAGACACUAGCUUAAACAACUGUGAAGGUGCUGCUGGCAGCACAUCUGAAAAAUCAAGAAAUGUGCCUGCGGCUGCCUUGCCUGUAACUCAGCAAAUGACAGAAAUGAGCAUUUCAACAGAGGACAAAAUAACUACCCCGAAAACAGAGGUGUGAGAGCCAGUUGUCACUCAGCCCAGCCCAUCAGUUUUUCAGCCCAGUACUUCUCAGAGUAAAGAAAAAGCUCCUGAAUUGCCCAAACCAAAGAAAAACAGAUGUUUCAUGUGCAGAAAGAAAGUUGGUCUUACAGGUUUGACUGCCGAUGUGGAAAUUUGUUUUGUGGACUUCACCGUUAACUCUGACAAGCACAACUGUCCGUAUGAUUACAAAGCAGAAGCUGCAGCAAAAAUCAGAAAAGAGAAUCCAGUUGUUGUGGCUGAAAAAAUUCAGAGAAUA
rnacentral:lncRNA from 1 species